AAGCGGCGGACGGGUGAGUAACGCGUGGGUAACCUACCCUGUACACACGGAUAACAUACCGAAAGGUAUGCUAAUACGGGAUAAUAUAUUUGAGAGGCAUCUCUUAAAUAUCAAAGGUGAGCCAGUACAGGAUGGACCCGCGUCUGAUUAGCUAGUUGGUAAGGUAACGGCUUACCAAGGCGACGAUCAGUAGCCGACCUGAGAGGGUGAUCGGCCACAUUGGAACUGAGACACGGUCCAA
rnacentral:rRNA from 1 species